rnacentral:rRNA from 1 species
UUUACGGAGAGUUUGAUCCUGGCUCAGGACGAACGCUGGCGGCGUGCUUAACACAUGCAAGUCGAACGAUGAUCUGGAGCUUGCUCUGGUGAUUAGUGGCGAACGGGUGAGUAACACGUGAGUAACCUGCCCUCCACUCUGGGAUAAGCACUGGAAACGGUGUCUAAUACCGGAUAUGAGCUUCCGCCGCAUGGUGAGGAGCUGGAAAGAAUUUUGGUGGGGGAUGGACUCGCGGCCUAUCAGGUAGUUGGUGAGGUAAUGGCUCACCAAGCCGACGACGGGUAGCCGGCCUGAGAGGGUGACCGGCCACACUGGGACUGAGACACGGCCCAGACUCCUACGGGAGGCAGCAG